rnacentral:rRNA from 1 species
AUUGAACGCUGGCGGCAUGCCUUACACAUGCAAGUCGAACGGUAACAGGUCUUCGGAUGCUGACGAGUGGCGAACGGGUGAGUAAUACAUCGGAACGUGCCCGAUCGUGGGGGAUAACGGAGCGAAAGCUUUGCUAAUACCGCAUACGAACUACGGAUGAAAGCAGGGGACCGCAAGGCCUUGCGCGGACGGAGCGGCAGAUGUCAGAGUAGGUAGUUGGUGAGGUAAAGGCUCACGUAGCUUGCGAUCUGUAGCUGGUAUGAGAGGACGACCAGCCACACUGGAACUGAGACACAGUCCAGACUCCUACGGGAGGCAGCAGUGGGGAAUUUUGGACAAUGGGCGCAAGCCUGAUCCAGCAAUGCCGCGUGCAGGAUGAAGGCCUUCGGGUUGUAAACUGCUUUUGUACGGAACGAAAAGGUUCUCUCUAAUACAGGGGGCCCAUGACGGUACCGUAAGAAUAAGCACCGGCUAACUACGUGCCAGCCGCCGCAGUAAUAC